ensembl:lncRNA
GAAGGAAGGAAGGAAGGAAGGAAGGAAGGAAGGAAGGAAGGGAAAGAAAGAAAGAAAGAAAGAAAGAAAGAAAGAAAGAAAGAAAGAAAGAAAGAAAGAAAGAAAGAAAGAAAGAAAGAAAGAAAGAAAGAAAGAAAGAAAGAAAGAAAGAAAGAAAGAAAGAAAGAGAAAGAAAGAAAGAAAGAAAGAAAGAAAGAAAGAAAAGAGGAAGGGAAAGAAAGAAAGGGAAAGAAUGAAAGAGAAAAAGAGAAAGAAAGAAGGAAAACAAUAAAAAGAAAAGAAAAAAGGGAAAAGGAGAAUAAAAGGAAAUGAGUAAGAGAAAGAGAAAGAGAACAAUAUUUGUGAUUCUAUGAUUUUGUGGAAAAGGGAGAAAAAAGAGAAGGAAGGAAGGGAGGUAGGAGGGAAGGAAGGAAGGAAGGAAGGAAGAAGAAAAGAAAAAAGAAAGAAAGAGAAAUAAGAGAAAAAAGAGAGAAAAAAGAGAAAAAGAAAAAAAAAAGGAAAAUGGAGAUGAAGCAAAGCAAAAAGGAAAGAAAAAAUAGGAUAAAAAAAGGAAACAAACAAAAAGAAUAUUUCAGUCUUUCACUCCCAAAUCCAUUUGUAGGGCAGAGUAACCUAUUUUCCAGUAAAGAUCCCACAAACCACAUUUUGCUAUUAAAAGUCUGUUUCAUCCGCUGGGAUGCAAACACUUUGUGCAGGAAAACACCACAUUCCCCGGGCGAGGAGGGCCGGGUGCUGCGGGUGGGAGCUGUGCUCCAAGUUGUGCUGCGAACCGCGCGGCACCGUCCGGCCACCGUGGGGAUGAAUGGGGCCGGCACCCCAUCGGGGUGUGAGUUUAGCAAAGUGAGAGCCCCGGCAAAUGCAGAAGGAAGGCCGUGCAGCCCUUACGACAGAAGUGUUUUCCUUCCACAGCUGGUGGGACCUCUGUGCGUAGGACUGGAGAGCCCCAAAGAGAAUCCAAUUUUCCAUCUGAUCUUGGAGACGAGGAGAUGAGGGUGCCGAGGGAAGAACGUGCUCUUCCAACACCUCUGGGAGGAAGGGAUGCUCCACACAAAAGCAGAAGUUUCUUUCAGAGGUCGUGACAUUAAUAUCUCCCAAAUUGCCCCCAUAAGAUUGUGGGGACAUCUGCGUAGCUUAAGCAGAGUCAUUGCUUCCAGCAAGUUCUUGUUGCACCAGAGCUUGUCAUUUAAGGCACUGAAAUGGAGGUCUCCUCUCACCUAGGAUGAGUGGAGGGAGGAGAUGUGGCUGUGUGUGGGCAUCUGGGCCAACUAGAUGGGUCAGCAGCUGGGUUUGUCAGACAUAAUUCCAGAUGAGAUGAACCUUUAAGUCAGAGCAGAUAUUGGAUGAGUAUCUCAUUGUGGAGCCCUCACAGAAUAUUGAAGGCUCUCAGUUCCCAUUCCCUGAGGUUAGACCAAGAAACACAAAGCGGAAAACCUGGGCAUCCCUGACAGAGGAUGUGGGGGACAGGUAACAAAGAAAGGCCAUCAGUGUCAAAAGCAGCCCAAUACUCCUCAGAAACAUGUCUGUACAAGAAACUGAGUAUUGUCUGUGCAGCAUUAGGGUAAAAGUAGCGGCAAAUUAAAGAAGAAUAAGAGACAGGGCUGUGCUCAUGGGCUGAAUAUCAGGAUAUCAGGAAAAACUUCUGGAUAUCAGGAAAAGCUUCUUUACAGAAAGGGUUGUUAAGCACCGGAAAAGGCUCCCCAGGGAGAUGGUUGAGUCACCAUUCCUGGGUGUGUUUAAAAACCAUUUGGAUGUGGUGCUCAGGGAUGUGAUUUAGAGGAGGGUUGUUAGAGUUAGGGUAGUAUGGUUAGGUUGUGGUUGGACUCGAUGAUCUUUAAGGUCUUUUCCAACCUGAGCAAUUCUGUGAUUCUAUGAUUCUAUUCUAUGAAUGCACACUGCUGAAAUGAUGAGAGCAAAGUUUUUCUCCUUUUGCUGCCACAGUUCAGUUAAGACCUGUUUGUGGGAGGCUGUAAGCACCAUCACUGAUCUACAAGUAAAUGAGAGGGCUCUAAUGCCUGCCGAGCAUCCUGGAUCAUUUGACUUUUAAGGCUUGAAAGGACCUGGGACUGCUGAUAGAGGAGGGCAAAAUUGUUUCAUUCUUUGAAUGCAAUCUGAAGCCUCUCCAAAGCAUUAAGUACCACCAUAGGGUUAAAAAAAACCCCAUCUCGGAAGUCAGUCUGCAGAUUUCUGCCAUGGAAGACAGAAAGCACGAGCUUCAGUGCUGCAGAGCCAGGUUUCACAUGCCAAGGCUGUAAGAGCAUUUUACAGCUCCAGUGAGCAAACAGCACUACACCUGAUGACACAGGAGGUGAUGUCUGUCUGGUUACUUACACGCCGAAGUCUGAUUCAGUCCUUCAGGGGAACUCAGGCUGGGAAAUAUGGAACGCUGGGGACUGAAAGGUAGCCAGGAGAAACAGGCAGUGCUUGUGCCAGAGCAGGCAGGGCAGGGCUCACAGCAGGGCUGCACAGAACACUGGAUUACUCUCUGUAAGCACUGACACCCAGGCAAUCCUCACUGCCUUCCGCCUGAAGUACACAGAUGAAUCUUGGGCAUCUGGAUAGUAAAUGACAGAGAUAAGGAAGACACAUAUAUAAAGGAACUAACAAACUUGUUACGCUACAGAGCUCAUCACGCUGAGAUGUGUCCAGGACUUCUCUGAUUGAAUCAUAGAAACAAUCAUCAUAGAACCAUUUGUGUUGGAAGAUACCCUUAAAGGCCAUCUGGUCCAACUCCCUGCAAUGAAGAGGGACACCUACAGCUCCAUCAGGUGCUCAGAGCCAUGUCCAGCCUGACCUUGGGUGUCUCCAGGGAUGGGGCAUCCACCACCUCUCUGGGCAACGUGUGCCAAUGCUUCAACACAUUUAUUGUAAAAAACUCCUUUCUUUUAUGCAGUCUUAGUCUCCCCUCUUUUAGUCUGCAACCAUUUCUCCUUGUCCUGUCACAGAGACCCUGCUGAAGAGUCUGUCCCCUUCCUUCUUACAGCCCCUUUAGAUACUGAAAGGCCGCUAUCAGGUCUCCCCAGAGACGUCUCCAGGAAAUUUUAUUUUUAUUAAAACAAUUUUCUCUAUAUAUUAUUUGAUCCUGCAGUGUGACAGUUCCCAAUCCAUGGCAGAACUCAGGCUGUAAGGUGUUUGCUGUGGGGUAAUGACAUCAAGCUGGCCUACGGGCAGACAACCUUAUGGAGAGCUGCACAUUGCACAGGAGUUGCAAGCUACAGACUGGAACAACAGAGAACUGCAAAGCACACCUGCCCCUGGAUUAUGGAAGUGAUUUCAUGCUACCUGUCCAGAACAAAUAAAGUUGUAGUGUGCAAAGGAAGGGAAGACUGGAAGUGGGAAGCCUACAAAUACAGUUUUACUUCCAAUUUCACCUCCCAUAAGGCAUUUGCCUCUACGAACAAUUUCCUUUGAAGCCAAAGUGGUAAUUCCGUUGAAUCCAACAAGGGCUGACUUGAGCCCCAUCAACUUGAGAACUGGCAUUCUCACCCAUGGUAACGGUGCUCUGUCUCUACUGGGAAGCGGAACAUAAAUGUUUGCUAUCUCCAGGUACCUUGACCUGAACAGAUGGGACCAUGCAGAGUAAAAGCAAAUUCUUCCCCUUCUUGAGGAAGGGAAGCUGUGUGGAAGUGAAAUAUCUGCUUGCUUUGGACUUUUCACUAAAGGACGAUGUAAAUGGGGGCACCUCAUAAAAUGCAAAUAUAACUUCUGAGUAAGGGGAAGAAGGGUUUGACUGUAUAGUCUUUCUGGAAACAAUUCCGGCAGAGGAUUAGGAGCUAUGGAUGGUAUUUCCAUAAGCCCUUGUUUUUGGCCUGACGAUGACUCCCAGAGAAGCUGAUGGUAAAUCUGCCAUUGUAUCCAAGAGGAACAGACUUGAGACAGCACUGAGCAAACUGAAGAUCCCAGCCUUUGACUCAGAAGUGUAAAUAUUUUGCCUUUAUAAGCAGAGAUUAGUAAAUUCAGGGACGUUAUUCAAAAUGCAAUUUGGUAGCUGCUUCGCUGAGCACUGUCCAUACACACUGAGCAUACUUAUCUCCCACGGCUUUAAGACGGCUCCGUGUUGUUAAGGAACAAGGAAAUAAAUCACAAAAGCGACAGCGAUCGGUGUCGUGGCGGAUAAUCUCUGCACAAAGGGGACAAACGGGUCACAGACGCAUUAUUCCCUUUGCGCCCCUGGGGAGGGCCCCCCAGGAAGGGUGCGUGGCUGUUGGGGUGGGUGCUAGGAGGUGCAGGCCCUGCUCCUGGCACAGGGGCCCGCUGCUGCCUGAGAGCUGCUAGCUCUGGCCUUGCGUGUUGCCCGUGUGCUGUUUCCAAAGCUGUUGGAAACCAGAGUUGGGGAGGAACAUAAAUCCAUGUUCGUGUCCAAAGUCAGAAAUAUUACUUCGUACGGAUGGAGUUUAAUCCACUCAGUAGAAAAGUCCCUGACUGAAAAGGUAUCCAAUAAAGAUGUUCAGAGCUGCUUAACUGAGUCCGAGAGGGGAUUUUUGCAGUUUUUUAUUCAAUGUAUGUAGUGAGGAAUAAUGAUCAGGAGAUGAGUGCAACCUAUCUUAGCUUGUAGCUG